AUGGUAAAUAUUAAAAGUAAAAAAAAAGAUUUGAAAUCUCCUAAGGAUUUAGAAAAUAAUAAACCAAAUUCUACUGACGAAUCACUGAACAAAUCAAAAGAAAAAGUAAAAACAAAAACAAAAAGUAUAUAUACUGAAAAUAUGAGCAGUAAAACAGAAGGAGACACUAUACGAUGCAAUUCAAACGAGUAUAAUAAUACAAAUUCUUUUUUUGAUAUAAGUAAUAAUGUUUCAAGAGAUUUUAAUGAAACCAUAAUAAGAGAUUCAUGUUAUUUUAUGGAUUUUAAUGGUCAAAUUGGCAAUAAUAACUUAGCAAAACAGGACAAACAAAACACAACACACAUUUUUAACGACGUGAAUCUUGCAACCACGUAUUCUAAUAUUGAUCCAUUAGAAGAUAAUAUAAUAAAUAAAUUAAACGGACAAAUAGAUGGGCAAACAGGCGGAAAAACAGAGGAAAAGACAGAUGGAAAAAUAGAUGAAAAAAUAGAUGGAAAAAUAGAUGGAAAAACAGAGGAAAAGACAGAUGGAAAAAUAGAGGUAAAAACAGAGAGACAGACAGAGGUAAAAACAGACAUACAAACAGACAUACAAACAGAGGUAAAAACAGAGAGACAGACAGAACAAGCAACCGAACAAAGUAGUAACAAUUCGCACGAAAUAAAACAUGUUAUUCCACAGGGAAACAUUUUAUUACAAAAUGAUAAUACCGAAAGCAACAAUACGAAUAAAAUUAGAUGCGAAAAUAUACAAGAAAUUUUUAAAAAUAAAAUGCCUAUUACUAUGUAUGAAACAGAAAAAACAGGAUGUUGGUUAGUUGAUAAUAUUAACUAUGUAUUAAAUAACUUAUGUGACACAAAUUUCAACGAUUUUGAUUCAGAGUAUACAUUUAUGGACAAUCCCAACCAGGUUAAUAAUAAAAACAAAAUUAUGAAUACAGGUGUAAAAAAUAAAUGGCGUGUUUGUCUCAACCUUAAUAACGUCGUUAAUUGUAGUCAUAUAUUAUCAAUAUAUGAAUCUAUACACAACAUGUUUUUAAAUUAUCAUAAAAAAAAAAUGGAAAAAAUUGAACAAAAAAAAAGAAAAAGAAAAAAAGAAUUAAAAUAUUAUUCAUUUUUACGUAGAUUUCCAAGAUAUUCAAAUUUAAAUAAAUAUAAUGAAUACAGAAAAAAAAAAUUAGAUGAUACUGGUUGUGACAAAUCAUCAUUAUCAUCAUCUUGUACAUAUGAUGUUUAUUAUGAUAAUGAUCAUAAUCUUUAUUUCGAUAAUUAUUAUCCUUAUAAUUAUCAAUAUACAUUAAACUAUGAAUAUGUUUUUUGUGAUUUUUUAUUUUGUUUUUUUAAUAAUAUAAGACAUAAAUAUAAAACUUCUCUUGAUAAUCUAGCAGAUAAAUUAAUAUAUUUCCGUAAAGAAAGUAAUACUUUUAAAGAAUACUGUUAUGCAAUUUCUAAACACAUUGGUAUGAAAUUAGUAAAUAUGUUAUCGUUUAAUAAUUUGUGGAUAUUCUUUGAAAGUUUACUCAGAUGUUUCUCAAAAUGUAUAUAUAAACAAAAUGACGAUAAUACAUUAAUUAAACUUAAUUUAACUUUACCACAUGACAUACAAAAUAAUGAAAAUAAUAAUCAAAUAAAUAUGGAUUCAAUAUAUACACCAACAUUCGACGCAACAAAACAAAAUGAUACAUUUAUGCCUUAUUCUACUAUUAAAUCUAAUUAUUUUCAUACUAACACAAGUACUGAUACAAAUUCUAAUACUAAUACGAAUGAGAAAAAAUAUAUAUAUCAUAAUGCAACUACUAUUAUUGCUAACCCACAUGUUACUACACCAACCACUAUGAAUAAUAAAAAAGCUUCAGCAUUUUCACCUGUACGUGUAAGUUAUUAUCAAUAUAUUAGUGAUUCUUUUAUUAAAACCUUUUGGUUUCGAAAAAGUGCAACUUUAAGUAAUAAAAAAUUUAAAAAAAAUGGGAGUUAA
ensembl:lncRNA